rnacentral:tRNA from 1 species
ACUUUUAAAGGAGGAUAGUAAUCCAGUGGUCUUAGGAGCC